UACGUAGGGGGCAAGCGUUGUCCCGGAUUUAUUGGGCGUAAAGAGCGUGUAGGCGGUUUGGUAGGUCCGCUGUGAAAACUCGAGCUCAACCUCGAGACGCCGGUGGAAACCAUCAGACUAGAGUCCGGAAGAGGAGAGUGGAAUUCCUGGUCGUAGGCGGUGAAAUGCGCAGAUAUCAGGAAGAACACCCGUGGCUAAGGCGGCUCUCUAGUACGGUACUGACGCUGAGACGCGAAGCGUGGGAGCGACAGG
rnacentral:rRNA from 1 species